CAGAUGGAAGAGAAAACCACAAGCUGCGUGCUUCGUCCAAUCACAUUUUAGUUUUAAGCCGUUUUUCUGAAUCGCCUACGUGUUGCUUUUUGAAAAUAGCUUCUGUAAAGUUCAAAGGGCAGUUUGUUUAUAAGAGUAAAAUUAUUGUCUUCAUCGUAGGAGCAGAGCAUGCGCGGUAAAUACUCAGAGUAGCAAAAAUUAAACGGCAGAAAUCUGCUGGGACAUAGAAGCAUUCAGAAUCGACUAACACGUCGGCACCAGAACAACGUUGACUGAAGACUUUCCAAGCAGUAUUUCUCGCUGCCGUUCAAACUCCAGCGCGUCUCCAUGCAGGUUACAGAAGGCGAUGCAGGCAGUGAAGGCAUCGUUGGCUUUGCCAGCAGGACAGUACCAGGCGAUCUCUGCCACGCCGUCCAUCAGCAGCCGGCUCUUGGUGCUGCCUGCACAGUUUCUGUGGAAGAAGGUGCUGUGACGCUCGUUGAUCAGGUCGUUCAUCAGCUGAGACUUGGACACUGACAGAGAACCCAGACGCAGGAACGACACCAUGGGGGUCUGAGCUUUGUAGACGGGGACACUCGUCAUGGUUGGAGGGGUCCUCCAUGUUUUAAUGAUUUGUCUGAAGGUCCAGAGAGGAAAGUGAACCUCACCAGUUAGUGGGUGAGGAACCAGCAGAGGUAACGCGUACUGACACUGGGAGAGUUUAGUGACCAUGUUCUGCUGCAGGAAGCUGUCAGAGCAGUGGAACACGGCCAUCUGAACGUCCAUCGGAUGAACCGGAGUCUGGGCUGCUUGAUUCGUGUUGAUACUUGUGCUGUAGAAAUCAUCAUCAUCAUCGUCAUCACUUGCAUCUGUAUCUACUGUGACAGUCUCUAGACUUCUCACCUCAGGACAUUGUGGUUUUACAGGAAUGUAUCUGGCUCUGUAGUCUAACAUCAUCAGCCGCUGAAGAAACGUACAAGCUAGAUCUUUCUCAAAUGUCUCAUGAUCCGGUUUCACACACGAACCGAUCAUAAGUAAAUCACCAGAAGACAUCUUCUGAAGUUUGUCUUGAAGGUGAAGCCUGCUGAAUACUGUUUCAUGUCCUUCUGAAAUGUUUACUGGCUGUUAAUAGAGAAACACAGGUAUUAUUCUACAAUCAAAUUUUAAUAAUAAUUUAAAUAAGGCAAUUAAAUACUUUAUCAUUCUUUUCCAAGUAAGGAGCAUUGGUUUCAUUUACUUACAGAUUAAGAAAACACAUGAAUACUUUUAUUUUGUUAGGUAGCACAUACUGUCUACAGUUUAUAAAAUAAUGCUGUUAUAAUGCAGUUACAGCAAUCACAAGUAGAGUUGAAAAUAGAAUUUUUGACAUGUGACAUGAAUCUAAGGCUAUCCUGAUUAAUCAUAAGAUCUCACCUUUCCCUCCAUUUUGUCUUCACAUUUCUCCAGCUCAUCUGCAAUAGGACAAUGCAACAAACAGAGCAGUUACAAACAUAAUGUUCUUUUGUGUUUUGCAUUUUCCCCAUUUAAACAUGAUGUGUUUUGUUUAUUAUAUAAUUAAUAUUUUGUCGGGCCAUUGUAGCAGUUUAUGACAAAAAUGUGAAUAAUUACUUUAUAAUAAUUGAAUAAUGCAUUAAUUAAAUUGCAGUAAUGCUCAAUUCUUUCUCUUACAUAAAGUAAAGGAAUCAUAUUUAACUUGAAAUAUGUUUGUUAAUAACUUGAAUAUGUUUGUUAAAUUAUAAAUUUGUAAUGUCACAGCUUGUCCAUCUACAAUAUGUUUUAUUUUGAAAUCCGGUUUGGCCGCUCCCUCACACUUAUUUUACUGCAAUCAUUCCUUGUUCUCUCUCGCUCAGUAUGUCUUCACUCUUCAACCUCAGUACGUUGCUAGUUCUCCAUCUUGUGAUGCUGCGCAGGUCUCUCUCUUAUUGGAACCAGCUGCGUUUUGCAAGCUGACGACUUUGACUCAUGUUUGAAGAAGGUUUUUGGGUCUUUUUGUUCCCAAAGAAUGACCUUUUUCCAACAACUCUCAAGUGAAAACCUGUUCAACUCACAGAAUGUAGUUAAAGACUAUUGUCAGGGACAGAGUCUCUCAUGCAAAUAGUUUGUUGCUUGAUAUUGUCCACAUGAACGUUUUUGGCUCUAGGUGAAAAUCCUUGUCAUACAUUAUGCCACAGAUCAGGCUUUUUGAAAUUACUGCCUCCAGAUUCUAGAUUUGAGAAAACACAUGGAAAAUAUUCACCAUUGUGUGAGAUGUUCUGGCUUUGUUGCACAAAGCCAAGGGCUUAAAUUCAACCAAGAUAAGUUAAAAAUCUAUGGCUUGCUUACAGAAAUGCAGGACCAGUUAAAACCAGUUUAGUUUCCAUGAAGAUUUAAUGUGUUGUCUGUUGAUUUGUGAUUAAAUUUAUCCUGAACAUG